CGUCGGCUGCACAAGCGGUGUUGGCGACUCAAGCGGCAGAUCCGGCACAGAUGGCAGCAACACAGAUGGCAGCAACGCAGAUGCCGGAGGGGGCUGUGGAAGAGGCGGCAGCGGCAGCUCCAGGGAGCCCCAGCAACUGAGGAAGGGCAGAGAAGGCCAGAAUGACCAGAGAACCUGCUGUAGAGAAAGGCUUUUGGGGUUUGAGCAUCUGCACCUUCAGAAGCUGCGCUGAAGCCUUCAUAGGCAGCCUCUGCCUUGUGAGGGAAGGCACCUCCACCAGCUGUAGUGUAAGGAUCAAGCCUGGUGUGUGGAACUUUUCUACAGCCCAUAAACGGAGAAAGCUUUUGCCUCCUCAGUUGUAGAGUUCUAUCAGUCACCGCUCUUUCAAGUCAUUGGUGAAGUGGAUAGAAAAUGCCUGCUUUCAGGGAACCAAACGGAUGUUGAAAAGGGGCUGGAAAUUAAACCCAGAACUUGAGUCUUGGAUGCUGUAGGCAGUGCCUUGAAAGAACUUCCUGGAACGGUGUGGAGCUUCAGAGCAUGAGCACAUUGACCUGAGCAACAACUAGAUGAUUCCUAAUCCUUUUUGGGUGUCCAUUUGGUUAUUUACGUGGCCAAGAAAGUCUUAAAAGUCUGCUGAGGAAGUGCAGAUCCAUCAUGCGCAAAAUCGGUUUUGAGGAACUAGAUGGGUGUGCACGUGACCUGGUGUCUAAAGGCAGUUUAAGCAUGGGAACAGAACAUGUUGGGUAUCAAUGGAGUGGUUAUGCUGUCCAUCGUGUAAGUUGUCUUGUGCUCAUAUACCUAUAAGUUGGAAGUUGUACACAGAGUAUAUUCUGUUGAGGACUGUGGAUUAAUUCUGUUAAAUGGAAGUCUUGACCAUUCACUCCACGUAUUGAGCUUUAAUUUCAGUUCUAUGCAGUGAUUGACUGUUGUGUCCAAGAAGAAUUGUCAGUAAAGACACUGCAAGAAAACUGCAGUGUUAGUCAGAAAUCAGGAAUAGUGGAAAUCAUAAGGUAAACAAGGGAAAUUUUAAUUUUUCAACAGGAUUAGAUCAUGCUCUCC